UUGUUACCUCCGCCAAGGAGGUUAUGUUUUCGGUAGCGUUGGUUUGUUUGUUUGUCUGUUAGCAACUUUACGGAGAAAGUAACAGACGGAUUGACCUGAAAUUUUCACCAGAGGUGCGUCUCAGCCCCAGGAGGAUCCCAUUAAAUUUUGGUGGUGAUCUGGACAAAAUUGUGGAUACUGUGAUCCAGAACACACAAAAAGGGUGUCCUUGGAAUUUUCAAUGCUGAAAGAUAAGGAAUGGGCGGCAAAGUGGUGUAGAAAGGUGGCACAGUGGUGUAGUGGUUAGCACUGUUGCCUCACAACCAGAAGGUCCUGGAUUUGAAUCCUGGUCAGGGCAUUUCUUGUUUAAGGGGGGACAUGAGCUGCUUGGCGGAGGUCUGCGCUCUCCGAGUGCUUUUCUAGUUUAAUGGCUUGAAACAAGCUCAUCAUUGGCACUGUGGUAAUGCAGGUAAUGCAUGAAAGUUUAUUACAAGUCUGGUCUACUUGUCAUGGAUAUGCUCUUUUCUGAUCAUGCACAUAGAUAUUAGUGUAAUUGUUUAUUUGUUGACGUACAAGAAGCACCAUGAAACACCUCUGUUCAGGUCUUGAACCCAGGAUCCUUUCAUUAAGAGGCAGUGGCCUUCAUUAACAGGUGAGCCUUGCUGAGUUUGCUUUGUAAUUAUCCCAGUACAUGCACACUUAAAAUUUGAGAGUGCCUGAGUUAAACACAAAAAAUUAUGGAGCAGCUGGCUUGACUGCAGUUAAAAUUUACAAUGAGAAUAUCCUGCUACAACUGGAAUUUUUAUUUUGAAUAUAUUUUUUUUUUCCUAAAACAGUUGUUUACUCUGUUUCGACAAUGCUGAGGCUCAUCAUUGGAUUUUCUCAAAACUUUCUAUCAAAUAAAAGGUUGGCUUUCAGCAAGUAAAAUCAAUAAUUACAGGAUAUAACAUCAGGUUUCAGAGAUAUUUCCCCUGCUGCAGUCGCUUCUCGUCUUGUCUCUCUGGGAUGACUUUGAGCUCUGCAUGAUUAUCAGGUAUCCCUUAAACAUACACCCCAUCUAGCUUUUCUGUGAUGUGUAGAACAACUUCAAAACUUUAUACAUGAAUGUGUGAAUGGUUUGUUAAAAUUCUGAAAGUCAACCAUUUCUGGAACAGCCCCUUCUGUAUUCUCGACUCAAACACUAUAGAGACAGUCUCACUGUCACCUGCAGCCGUUAGUUUCUAACAGAAUUAGACAGAUUUGAAAAUUCUGCGUCCCCAGAGAUGGGCUGAUCUCACACAGCAUCGUGCAUUGCAUUAUUACAGCUGUUGCAAUGUUACACAUAAUUUUACAUUGCCCUCUCUGUUUGUGUUUUGAAACAGUUUCAACAACCCAAACAGACUUGCAUGUCCACUUUGACCGUUGCCCAGAUCUGAAGCUAUGGGACUGACGGUAUGUGUUCAUGUGAAUGGUUGUAGUAAGCUGCCUCUGAACAGGAGAAGUAUCUUGAAACAGCUCCGGUAAAAAUAGCUCUAAUGUUGCACAUCGGGUGUAAUGUUGGCUGUGACAAUGUGGACUAGUCUGGCGGCAUCAUCACUUUUAGAGUUUCUGCGUUUGAUCUGAUGGUGCUGUCACAAGGACGUGAACAGUAUAUGAUUAAAUGUGAUUUUUGUUGACAACAGUCUGGCCUCUUUCCCAAAGACGAGGUUUUAUGUUUUCAUCAUAAAGCCACUGUGGAUGAUCAAGCUGAGACUGAAAUGACUAUUGUAGUGUGACAGUCAUUAUUUAUCCUUGGCCUAUCUCUCUGAUUCAACACGAAAAAAUACAAAAACAGCAGUAUUCAACUGACUCAUUCAUUAUGUUCUGUGUGCUGAGUAUGAAUGUGCGCAGAAAGAAAUCUGGGUCAUUUCUCCAUCAUUAGUAUGCUUGCCAGGUGUAGCGCAAAGAGGAUUAGAGGAAAGUAAUGCCAAUGGGGGCUCUCUAUGUCGAUCUCACCUUCUCUCUCUAUAUCCAUCUCUCCCUCUCUAACCAAACAGCCACACUUUAAGUGCUCCCUGCUGUCACCUCAAAGAGCAUAUCUAUGACAAGUACACCAGACUUGUAAUAAAACUUUCAUGCAUUACCACAGUGCCAAUGAUGAGCUUGUUUCAAGCCAUUAAACAAGGAAUAUUUCCUACUUUUCUUCUUGACGUUAUGUGUGAUCAUAAAAGCCAGGGUUGGCACAUUUAAUCAACAGGUGAUAAACAUGGAUAAAGCUGGAGGUCUCUCCUCUGUGGCUGUUUCUCUCGAACAUUGACUUUGUGGUGGAGUAGUCAGGUUGAACUAAUAUAAUGUACAAUAGAGUCAAAGUAAUGCUCAGGUAAAUCCUGCUAAUGUAUCCCCUGUUACCAUGCAGAACCACUAGUAUGUUAGACAGACUUCAAACAGAUGUAAUCACGCCUUGCUGUCUCCUAAGAUUGUCAAAAGCAGCCUGUAUGAGGCAAAUUUCAUGCUUUGGAGUUUGAGUAUUUCAUUAUUAACCAUUUAGUAAUUCACUCCUGGUUAAUACAGGAACAUGUUCAUUUCUGUGGACCUGAUUCUGAAUUGUGGCUGACUACAAGAUAAAACAUAUUUGAUGAGGACACUUACUAAAGCAAAAUAGACAACAGGUUACCAAGUACUCCCAGGGUGUGUAUGUGCAACUAGGCAAGUGUGGAUUCUGCUGAAAACAAAACACAAGAGGUGUUCUGUGAAACAUCUGUUCCCACCCUAAUUCAGGAUUCAGGUCUGGAGACUUUUAUUCUGUGGAAGUUCAAAACAGCAAUUCAACGCACAGCUUAAAUGGCAUUUGUUCCUGGCUUGGAUUUGAACCUGGAUUGUUCCUGGCUGAUGUUAAGUUCAUCUAUCCUGCAUGUUAACCAAGAAUCCUCUCAUGGAGAGGCAGCAGCCUUCACCACAGCAGUACAGGUUAGCCUUGCAAGCAUUGGUUUUUCCAAGUGUGAAUACAGAAUAAAAGUCGAGGCAACAAUGACUUGGUGAAGUCUGUCAGACAUGUUGUAGUUUAACAAUGAAGGUUGCUGCCCCAAAGGAUUCUGGGUUCAAAUUGAGGACAGCAUAAUUGCUGUUCUCACAUUACAUUUUAAGCUACUUAAUGAAAGAUGAAAGCACAAGACCUUUAAAAAAGGGAUAAGGCUUACCUGUGGUACAAUGGUGAAGGCUGUUACCUUUUGAUGAAAGGAUCCUGGGUUCAAGACCAGAGCAGAGGCACAUCUGGUGAACAUAGAAGAGAAAACUGAUUUCACAUCCAUGCUAACCUGCAAUGAUAACCAUUUGCAAUUAGGAAAUAAAAAUAAAAAGCAUCUAUAAAAACAAGCACUGUCAGGCAGACCUUGUAGUGGUGAAGUCUACUGCCUCACCAUGAAAGGGUCCUGGGUUCAAAUCCAAGAUCAGGGCUCCUCAUGUCAGUCUGGAACAACUACUUUCUAAACAUGUACUUUGAGCUGUGCUUUGAAUUGCUUGUUUAAACUUCCAUGGUCAAAGAAUAAAGGUAAUAAGGACCUUUAAAAGCAAGCACUGUCUGGCAAACCUGUAGUGUAGUGUCCAAGGCUGGGUUCUGAUUUUGAGUCCAGGACAAGAGAAUCGAGAGGACAGCAGAUACUUUAUGUCAGCCAGCCAACAAUCGUUUUGUUUACGUGUAGUUUGAGCUGUGGUUUUCAUUGCAGUUUUGAACUCCAACAGUUGAAAAGAAGAGGAAAUAAGGAGCUACAAAUGCAAGCUCUGCCAGGACAACCUCUGGUUUGAUGGUCCCUCCCUGCCACUGUCCUUGGCGGCACCCUGUGGUUACAUACAGGUGUGUGUUAGCCCCUAUUUGCGUCAGCUGACUCUCUGUGUGCAGAAGUUCAUUUAGGGAAAUGGGCCUCUAAUUUAGUUCUACACCAUAAUGCUGCUAUUUUAAAUAUUUCCACUUGAUUUAAUCCUUACACUUUCCUUUAUAUUCUUUUUCAGUGUUUCUUGGUUUGUUAUCGUGUUUAUUUUCUCAUUUGGUUUUUACUUCUUUUCAUUUGUAUGCGUCAUUUGAACGUUGAGUAAUAUCUAUUGUUUUUUUUAAGUCUUCUCCCCUGUGUUUAGGUGCUGAGGAUCCAUUGUAGCAGUCUGGCUACCCUGGUGAUGAUAUUUUUCCCAAUUUUCUCCCUGCCAUGAGCUAAUUUUAAGAUAUUCUUUUGAUGCACUUGUUUUAAUAUUUUAGAUUAAAUGUUUUAAUUCGAUUAAGAUCUGGGUUGUUUUGAGGAAAUUAUCCACUUUUGUUAAUUAUUAAAAUAAUAUGGUGGUUUUAUUAUUCGUUAAAUAGAAAUGACCUUUUCUUUUGAAGCUGAAACCAUCUUUGCGUACGGGUAAGACAAAGCUUUUUGACCUUGGUUAAAUGUAUCUAACUUUAAAUUCAGUGUUUAAGAAUUGCUGGGGAUGGAUUUCCCCCAGGUUGUGUUGUUGCAGCAAAACCAAGAAAUUCUAAUCUGCCCUUUCCACUACACGAUGAUGAAAUGAAAAAUAGUUUUAAAAAAAGGAAUCCAAUGCAGGGUUUAGGUCCCUGUCUUUCAAUGAUGGAGCUUGGCUUCAAUUUCAGGGCUGUCAAUGUGAGGCACAGAACAAAUCCCUUCCUCAAAUAUUGUUUGAGUUGUACUUUUUAAGAUGCAAAAUCCGAUGGUGAAAUGAAAAGUCCAGAAAAGAAGACUGUAUCAGGCAGUCCUGUGGUGAAAUGGUUAAGACUGCUAACUGCCAAUGAAAUGGUUCUGGGUUUGAUUCCAGCACAGAGUGAGAGCAAGGUAGAGGCAGGAACAGAUGAGGGGGGAAAACGAGAAGAAGGCAGGGAGAGAAAAGAAGAGAAAGAGAGAGGAGCGAAAGAAAAUAAGUGAAUUCAAUGAAAACUGACUGAAUACACUGGUAAAAAUAGCUGCACCCCUGAGGGGUGUAGAGAUUAAACUUAUAAAUUCCCCCAAAUAAACCUGCACAUAACAUAAAGAGGUGUGAGUCAUGAAUUCUUACAAGUAAUGCUGUAAAUGAACAAUGAUAAAGUUGUAAUAUUACAAGCUCUGGUUAAUCCCUGAAAGCUAAGGAUGACCUUGUAAAAUCAAACUCCACAGCUCAGGAUGAGCAGCAGGUGCAGAGGCCUUCACAAGCUGUUCCUCUUCAUAACAGACUCUAUUUCCUACACAAUGAACUCAAAAUUCUGAUUCUUAUGACAAUGCUGUGCUGAUGUACUAAUAGAUUUGGCUCUCUGUUUUUCAUGAAAUCCUUUAACUUUACAGGAUGCUCCAAUUUUGUCAUGUUAGCUCAAGAGGCUGGGUGUAAUUACAAUCUUCCCCUUUAAACUCACACCUUUCCCCCUAUUAUUAUAUAUAACAUUGAUUUCCCAAUCCCAUGUCUUUUUCUCUGUCAGAUGACCCCAAUACUCCAAUAUUCAGAAUCAGAAUACUUUAUCUCGGGGGGGGGAAUGCGUUUUUAUUCACAGCAUUGCAGAUACUACUAGGACGUCUGGUCCCAGGUUGGUCCUAUUCAUGGCUUUCAGCAAAAAUACUGCACAGUCAUUUGUUCUGACAUUAGUAUUUAUAGGCAGUAUUUUUGGAGAGAAAUCUCCCCUCUGCCAUUUUUUACAGUCUUACAAAUAACUCAGUAUUUCUGUGCUAUAAAAAAAUACAAACGGGCCAUUACUUCAUCUGCCUUCCACCCUAUGGUAGCAGUUUCAGGCAUUAAAAAUACACCAUAUUAAAUCCAUCUUACCACUUUUAGUAAUUUUUGCUUUUGUUUUUAGUUUAUUAUAAGCCGCCAGAAACUCUUCUCUGCAGCUUUGAAAUUCAACCACAUGGGGAACAAUCUUAAUACCUGGCCAUAAUAAAGCACCAAAACUUUGGCAUUGAAUAGAGACAAAUUAAUUCACUGUUUUUCUUUUUUUAUGAACAGCAACAGGUAGAUUAUCUGACUUGCUUUAAACAGAGGAAUGUUGAGCUAAUUCAUAAACCAUUCAAAGAAAAUGAGAAAAAAUAUCUUCCCCUUCCUCCUAGUAUCACAUUGUUUCCCCCAAUCCAUACCCUCCUCACUUUAUCUGUCUUCAUCUCAACUCUCCAUUUCUCUUCAUUCCUCUGCCUCUCCUUUCCAUAUCACCUAUUUCCCUGUUUACUCAUCUGUAGAGAAGGAGGAAUGAUAUUUCCUUGAAAGGAAACUUAGGAGGGCACAGCGGGGGAGACAGAUAUGUCCCUUCACACCUGUUAGAGAGGGAAGCUAAUGCACAGCAGAGGGUAAGACCGAUCUGGAGGGUACAGGAGGCAAAACCCUCUUAAUCCUGGUAACAUUGGAGCUCAGACCUCUCAUCAAAGCCUGGGAGCUGCUGCGCUGUCUGGUAAUGGUAGACGAAGGACAAAGGUAUGUUGGAGCAGAAAAAGGAAGGAAAUCUUGACAAAAGUAGUGAUACUGGGAUCAGAUGAUCUGAUCCCAGAUCAGAUUUUUGCUGUAUUACUUUUCUGAACCAUAGUUAUUACCUCCGCCAAGGAGGUUAUGUUUUCAGUAGCGUUGGUUUGUUUGUUUGUUUGUUGGUUGGUUUGUCUGUUAGCAACUUUACGGAGAAAGUAACAGACGGAUUGACCUGAAACUUUCACCAGAGGUGCGUCUCAGCCCCAGGAGGAUCCCAUUACAUUUUGGUGGUGAUCUGGAUCGCCUUCUGGAUCCAGGAAUUUUUUGAAGGAUUCUUUAUCAUUGUGAGAUAGGGCAAAUUUUGGAAUUUUUGCAUUUAACUCUAUAAAAAUGGCCAGAGUCUUUAGUAAAAAAUUACACAAAAGCAUCUCAAUGAGUUUUAUGAGGUGUCAAAGGUUGAUCCUGAUCCAGAC
rnacentral:lncRNA from 1 species